rnacentral:rRNA from 1 species
GCAACACACUUUCUUCGUUCUUAACACAUGCAAGUCGAACGGAAAGGCCCUGCUUUUGUGGGGUGCUCGAGUGGCGAACGGGUGAGUAACACGUGAGUAACCUGCCCUUGACUUUGGGAUAACUUCAGGAAACUGGGGCUAAUACCGGAUAGGAGCUCCUGCUGCAUGGUGGGGGUUGGAAAGUUUCGGCGGUUGGGGAUGGACUCGCGGCUUAUCAGCUUGUUGGUGGGGUAGUGGCUUACCAAGGCUUUGACGGGUAGCCGGCCUGAGAGGGUGACCGGCCACAUUGGGACUGAGAUACGGCCCAGACUCCUACGGGAGGCAGCAGUGGGGAAUAUUGCACAAUGGGCGGAAGCCUGAUGCAGCAACGCCGCGUGCGGGAUGACGGCCUUCGGGUUGUAAACCGCUUUCGCCUGUGACGAAGCGUGAGUGACGGUAAUGGGUAAAGAAGCACCGGCUAACUACGUG